GAGAUUUACUCCUAGUUUAUGAGUAUAUACCAAAUGGGACAGUGGCAGAUCAUCUACAUGGUAAACGGGCCAAAUCUGGCUUACUCUCUUGGCCUGUCCGAAUGAACAUAGCCAUUGAGACUGCUGAAGCCCUGGCUUAUCUCCACUCCUCAAUUAUAAUACACCGUGACGUCAAAACCAACAACAUUCUGUUAGACAACGAUUUCCAUGUGAAAGUUGCUGAUUUUGGGCUAUCAAGACUGUUCCCAAAUAAUGUCACACAUGUCUCUACUGCUCCACAGGGUACACCAGGCUACGUUGAUCCUGAAUACUACCAAUGUUACCA
rnacentral:misc_RNA from 1 species